AUCACUUACUGUACAAGGUAUGCUGUCAUUAGGAUGCAAGCUGCUAAGAUGGGGGUAGAAGGAACAAGCACUUUUUGUGUCUUUCUCGCCAGUUCCAGGUCCUAAUUGGCUGUCAUGGUGUCCCAACUUGUUGGAUUACCUACUCAGACGUCUUCUGUGCAGGACAAAUCUUCUUGUCUGAGGGGUUGCCUCAGCCGCAGAUGUUAUCUUUGUUUUGGCCCGCUAACAGCCAAAGACUUCAAGGACCUCAACGAAGAGGCGGCCUCAGUGAUGUUGACUGUUGAACUCCUGAAUAAACAGAGGGACGCGGGAGCUGUACCUUAGAGCGUAGGGCGAGACGGUGACUAAGUGUGCAGCUCCAUGCCUUCUC